ACGUAGGGCGCAAGCGUUGUCCGGAUUUAUUGGGCGUAAAGAGUUCGUAGGCGGUCUGUCGCGUCGGAAGUGAAAACCCGGAGCUCAACUCCGGGCCUGCUUUCGAUACGGGCAGACUUGAGUGUUGCAGGGGAGACUGGAAUUCCUGGUGUAGCGGUGGAAUGCGCAGAUAUCAGGAGGAACACCGGUGGCGAAGGCGGGUCUCUGGGCAACAACUGACGCUGAGGAACGAAAGCGUGGGGAGCGAACAGGAUUAGAUACCCUGGUAGUCCACGCUGUAAACGGUGGGCACUAGGUGUGGGGACCAUUCCACGGUCUCUGCGCCGCAGCUAACGCAUUAAGUGCCCCGCCUGGGGAGUACGGCCGCAAGGCUA
rnacentral:rRNA from 1 species